AAUUUUAUGAAUGAAAUGCGACAAAAAUACACGUUUAUUUCCCACAGUGGAUGUAGUAAACAUGCUCUAGUUUUUGCUUAUUUUUGUCGAGUCAUAUUCAAGACAUAAAACAAUUAUAGAACUUGACAAACAUUAUUAUGUUGCGGGCGAAUUCUACAUGUAUGCAAGUAUUUUAAAUGUAUCACCCUUGCACAAAUCUUAUAAAAGAAGAG
rnacentral:lncRNA from 1 species